GACGAACGCUGGCGGCGUGCCUAACACAUGCAAGUCGAGCGAGUGGAUUUCCUUCGGGAAUGAAGCUAGCGGCGGACGGGUGAGUAACACGUGGGCAACCUGCCUCAUAGAGGGGAAUAGCCUACCGACAGGGAGAUUAAUACCGCAUAAGAUUGUAGCUUCGCAUGAAGUAGCAAUUAAAGGAGUAAUCAGCUAUGAGAUGGGCCCGCGGCGCCUUAGCUAGUUGGUGAGGGAAUGGCUCACCAAGGCGACGAUGCGUAGCCGACCUAAGAGGGUGAUCGGCCACAUUGGGACUGAGACACGGCCCAGACUCCUACGGGAGGCAGCAGUGGGGAAUAUUGCACAAUGGGGGAAACCCUGAUGCAGCAACGCCGCGUGAGUGAUGACGGCCUUCGGGUUGUAAAGCUCUGUCUUCAGGGGCGAUAAUGACGGUACCUGAGGAGGAAGCCACGGCUAACUACGUGCCAGCCGCCGCAGUAAGAC
rnacentral:rRNA from 1 species